rnacentral:rRNA from 1 species
UAUACGACCGUACCGCAAACCGACACUGGUGCGCGAGAUGAGUAUUCUAAGGCGCUUGAGAGAACUCAGGAGAAGGAACUCGGCAAAUUGACACCGUAACUUCGGAAGAAGGUGUGCCCUAUUAGUGUGUAGUGAACAACGAAGCAUGAAUGGGUUGCAAAAAAUCGGUGGCUGCGACUGUUUAUUAAAAACACAGCACUCUGCAAACACGAAAGUGGACGUAUAGGGUGUGACGCCUGCCCGGUGCUGGAAGAUUAAAUGAUGGGGUGCAAGCUCUUGAUUGAAGUCCCAGUAAACGGCGGCCGUAACAAUAACGGUCCUAAGGUAGCGAAAUUCCUUGUCGGGUAAGUUCCGACCUGCACGAAUGGCGUAACGAUGGCCACACUGUCUCCUCCUGAGACUCAGCGAAGUUGAAAUGUUUGUGAUGAUGCAAUCUCCCCGCGGAAAGACGGAAAGACCCCAUGAACCUUUACUGUAGCUUUGUAUUGGACUUUGAACAGAUCUGUGUAGGAUAGGUGGGAGGCUUUGAAGCAGGGUCGCUAGAUCUUGUGGAGCCAACGUUGAAAUACCACCCUGGUGUGUUUGAGGUUCUAACCUAGGUCCAUUAUCUGGAUCGGGGACAGUGCAUGGUAGGCAGUUUGACUGGGGCGGUCUCCUCCCAAAGCGUAACGGAGGAGUUCGAAGGUACGCUAGUUACGGUCGGACAUCGUGACGAUAGUGCAAUGGCAUAAGCGUGCUUAACUGCGAGACUGACAAGUCGAGCAGAUGCGAAAGCAGGACAUAGUGAUCCGGUGGUUCUGUAUGGAAGGGCCAUCGCUCAACGGAUAAAAGGUACUCUGGGGAUAACUGGCUGAUACCGCCCAAGAGUUCAUAUCGACGGCGGUGUUUGGCACCUCGAUGUCGGCUCAUCUCAUCCUGGGGCUGUAGCCGGUCCCAAGGGUAUGGCUGUUCGCCAUUUAAAGAGGUACGUGAGCUGGGUUUAAAACGUCGUGAGACAGUUUGGUCCCUAUCUUCCGUGGGCGCUGCAGAUUUGAGGAAGCCUGCUCCUAGUACGAGAGGACCGGAGUGGACACACCUCUGGUGUAUCGGUUGUCACGCCAGUGGCAUUGCCGAGUAGCUAAGUGUGGAAGAGAUAACCGCUGAAAGCAUCUAAGCGGGAAACUCGUUUCAAGAUGAGAUCUGCCGGGGCCUUGAGCCCCCUAAAGAGUCGUUCAAGACCAGGACGUUGAUAGGUCAGGUGUGGAAGCGA